rnacentral:lncRNA from 1 species
CUGAGAUCUUGACCAAGAUCGACAGACGAUCUGGUAAGGAACUUAAGAAUGAGCCUAAGUUCCUAAGAACGGUGAAGCUGGUAUGAUUAAGAUGAUUCCGACCAAGCCCAUGGUGGUGGAAACUUUCUCAGAGUACCCACCUCUUGGACGAUUUGUUGUGCGUGACAUGCGACAGAACGUUGAAGCUGGUAUGAUUAAGAUGAUUCCGACCAAGACCCAUGGUGGCGGAAACUUUCUCAGAGUACCCACCUCUUGGACGAUUUGUUGUGCGUGACAUGCGGGUUCGUCUUACAUCGUUGAUUCCAGAGAAGACUAUUUCCAAAAAUUAUGUUAUAAGAACUUGAUUUUCUUUUUUUCAAGAAUGUUAGGAUGUUUACAUUGUUGGUUGUGUUGUAUUCUCCUGCCUUGUAUGUUGAUCAACCAAUCUCAGAAUUGGGUGCUCGACAGACGGUGGCGGGAAUUAUGGCAUGGAGUUGUGUUAUCAUCUUUUGCUUAUUUCUUUUUCUUCGUUUGUGGUGUCUUAUGUUCUACUGCGGCUCUAAGUAUUGUUGUUUAUCUAUUUUUAUUUUACUCUUCUUAUUGUCAUAUUUGAUUCUAAUGUUUGUUUUGAUUUUCUUCAUUGUUUUAUUUAUUGUCCUUUCUCAAUUCGUUCAAUCCUUU